rnacentral:tRNA from 1 species
GGGGGCGUGACGGAACGGAAAACGUAGAGGCCUUAAAAGCCUUGGUCCGCGAGGACUUGCAGGUUCGAAUCCUGCCGCCCCUACCA